UCGGCGCCGACCCAUGGGUCCACACUACCUCACCUUCCGCGUAGCUCGCACGUUCGGGAGAAAAAUCUGCGAUGGCCGUUUGCUCUGGAUUUCUGCGUCAACGAUGAUAUACUAGGCAUGUCAAUUGCACCUGAUUUUCUUGCCACACGAACCCUACCCGCUUCCCUCUCCUUUUCUUUCUGUCUUUGAUCGUGGCAGUGGAGGGGUUCACUGGUGGCUGAACCUAGCACGAGUAGACGAUCGGCGCCCGAUCUUGCUCCUCGAUCCCUUCCUCGUGUGAGUGCCUCUGCCCCCGCUGGCCUCCACCGCACGGGGAUCGCCCCCUUGUCCAAGGACUCAAAAUCAGAUCUGGGAGCAGCCGCCGGGGACACGCUUCAUAUUUUUGCUACCGGGGGUGAGAUCGAAAUUGUAUGAGAGAGGCGUGAUGGAGAGGAGAAGAGGAACAGAGCACCCACGGGCCAGCUAAAAGGCGCGGGUGGCACCGGCAACACUUAUUUCGUCUUUCUUGCUGAAUUUUUUUAUUGGUCCCGAUCCUCACGGAUGCAUGCGUAUUUGAACUGGAUUGGAUCGGUUCAUGGUUGUACGUAUGUCUCCCCAUUCAAUUGGAUACACGUCUAUUAGAUCUACUAUAUAUUGUUCAUUCCUCUCUUUUUUUGAUUUGGAAGGUUAUAGCAGUUGUAGCAAUCAUCUCAAAACAUCAGCAUCUUUGACGCGUAUAUACAUAUCUUGGCUAAUUGAUGUUUUGUCAUAUCCAUCUUAUGCUUGAAGAUACAUGCAUUGUUGAUAAUUAAGUUGAUAUAUAUAUGAUUAUUAUUUUUCUUGCUGAACUUUUUCAAUAGACUCAUGGAUGAUACAAAACUUUAUGGUGCUGACUAGGAGAAUACUUGAAUGGGCCAUGACCGGGAGGGAGUUGCUCACCUAAGUGAUCACCAAUGUUGCUGCUAUCGACAACCGCGUUGGCAUGCUCCACCUCACCACCGUCGACGGGUUAUGGACAAGUGAGCGGAGUAGAGCUGCCACCCUCUUCGCCACCCAUUCUAGCACACCCGUGAUCACAGGAGGACCCAACCGUUCCUAAGCCCGGGCACGCGCUUAGGCUUCCAGCCGGCGGCGCAGCCUAUUUUGAUGAAAAUUUGGCCGGCUUACAGUGCGUCCAUGCUUGAUGAAAUCUUGUGUCCGCCACCGCCCGUGAUCAACAACAGGGAAGGUGCAUCUAACGGGGUGAGUGCUCCUCUUCCUCAUGAACCCUACUUUUAGUUGCUAUUCGGACUUGCAUGUCUGCCAUUAUUUGAGAAAUAGAUUUGUAAUGGUACAAGUAAACCUGGGAAUUGUGCUGUACUCCACAAUAAAUUGAAUAUGAUAAUGAUGGAUCUUCUCAAAUUCAUGUACAUUUUUGUGGAAAGAAAAUUUAUAUUCUGAAGGAAUCCUUUGGUAUGUAGUAAUCAGGAUUUCAGUUGUUGGAAAAUUUCGAAUCCAUUCUAAAAGACAUGGAUGGAGAAUUUGCCCGAGGUAGUGCUUCAUUGAUCUGUUAAACUUUGAUGUAAACCAAAUUCAGUUCGGUGCUCUAUUCAUUGUCCAAUAGACAUAGAUGGAGAAUUUGUCCGAGUUAGCGUUUUUGUGUGUAGGAUGCUGAAGGACAAAGUAUAUGUCCAUUCCGGUAACCAAGGUAACGACUCAUAAAAUUUCAGAGGAGUUGGUCUUAAUAAUAGAUAAGCACUCGUCAAUGAAUGCCUUGUUCAGUUACAUUAAUAUUGCGAGAGGAUCACCGCGGACUUCUCAAAGGUACACAUACAGUUCAGUUCACUGUCCGUUCUCAAUAUUACUCGCAACCGAUUUUCUUCCGGAUGUAAUGUGAUGAUGUUGUUGCUACUGAUCCAUUGGGCCGACUAUAUGUUGAGCAGAGUGUGUAUUAAGGAAGGUGGUAAGAGCUGAGUUUGUAGCAGCUGAUCAUUGAUGUAAGGAGCUGGCAGUGAAGGUGAAAUAUUUGGAGGAGCAGGUGAAAGAGUUUGUCAUGGAGAUCAACACCAUUAUCUUGGUCAACCAUUAGAACAACAUGGUCAUUAUAUUUAAUUAUUUCGAGGUUGUUACUUCAAUAGAAGGGUUAGAAGUAUAUAAAGCUAUAGUCAAGAGAUUAGUGAUUACUCUCUAGAUGGAAAAGAAAUUAGUUCCCACAUAUAAGCAUAUGCAUCAUAUCUUGAGCUGAUUUUUUUCGCAGUGAUAAUGCCAACAAAGUAAAUAAAUAUCAUUGUAUAUGUACCUUAUGUCAGGUUUAAUGGUAUAGCUCAGUUGGAUUCAAUUCUUAUGCCAGAGAUUUGAAAUAUAGAUAUAAUGAAAAAAUGGGCACCUGUCUUAAAGUAUAGAAGAAACAUUACCAAAGCUUGUGGGGAAUUCUUCUAAGAUUUACCGAUUGAAACUUGGAGAGUUGGAUAUUAAUUUUUAUUAUCAACAAAGAUAACUAUGUUACUAUCUUUUAAAGUUAAAAACUGUUCUUUUGCACUAAAGCUGGCUUUAAAAAAGGUAAAUUUAGAUCACAAUUAUCGUGGUGAAUGUUAGCUCUUCUGUUUAUACAAGUAAAAAACUUCAAAUUCUUCAUGUUUGAUACUUGUGUUGGUAAUUUUAGGAACUUUCGGCAGAAGGGAGACUCUACCUAAUUUGGAGUUGACUCACAAGGAAAAAAGAGCAGAUGGUGAUGGAAGCCUCUCUGAAAGAGUAUAUUAACCAAUAGUACCAUUUUAUCUUCUUCAUCCAUAGCCUACAACAUAUCCGGUGAGGACAUGGAAUCGAAGAUCUGCUACAUGGUGGAAAUGGGAGGCGCUGCAGCCUACGAAGGUCGCAACAAUCGCAUGAAAGGAAAUGUUGUUGAGUUAUAUUUGCACCUUUCUAUAAGGGGUUAUGGAGGCCUCCCGGGAAGAGUAUCUUGACCAAAAACAUGUCAACUUCUUCUGUCACGAGUAAGCACACUUUUCCUACAGUCUAAGGAAACUUCUACCGUCCCCUUGAGCUAUUUGACCGGCAUGCAGUUGCUCCUACCAAUGAGCUUUAAUUGCAUCCAAGUAAUGACAUCCUACAACAUAUCUGGUGAGGACAUGGAAUCGAUGAUCUGCUACAUUGUGAAGAUGGGAGACGUCGGACCCUAUGAAGGUUGCAGCAAUCGAAGGAUAGAAAAGGUUGCUGAGUGAUGUGUGCACCUUUCUAGAAUACAUUUUUCUUAUAGUUACGUAUCCCACCAAACGAAUGGACCCAUCGAAGUGAUAAAGCAGAUCGAGAUUGUGAAGUGAUAAAGAAGAUCAAGAUCAUGACAUGCAGAAAAUACAUGCUCACCCCCUCCGAUGGAUUGUGUUGCUGCUAAAUUGUUGAAUAAAGAAGUGUUAGUGAGAACGGA